rnacentral:rRNA from 1 species
AAAUUGAAGAGUUUGAUCAUGGCUCAGAUUGAACGCUGGCGGCAGGCCUAACACAUGCAAGUCGAACGGUAACAGGAAUCAGCUUGCUGAUUCGCUGACGAGUGGCGGACGGGUGAGUAAUGUCUGGGAAACUGCCUGAUGGAGGGGGAUAACUACUGGAAACGGUAGCUAAUACCGCAUAACGUCGCAAGACCAAAGAGGGGGACCUUCGGGCCUCUUGCCAUCGGAUGUGCCCAGAUGGGAUUAGCUGGUAGGUGGGGUAACGGCUCACCUAGGCGACGAUCCCUAGCUGGUCUGAGAGGAUGACCAGCCACACUGGAACUGAGACACGGUCCAGACUCCUACGGGAGGCAGCAGUGGGGAAUAUUGCACAAUGGGCGCAAGCCUGAUGCAGCCAUGCCGCGUGUAUGAAGAAGGCCUUCGGGUUGUAAAGUACUUUCAGCGGGGAGGAAGGGAGUAAAGUUAAUACCUUUGCUCAUUGACGUUACCCGCAGAAGAAGCACCGGCUAACUCCGUGCCAGCAGCCGCGGUAAUACGGAGGGUGCAAGCGUUAAUCGGAAUUACUGGGCGUAAAGCGCACGCAGGCGGUUUGUUAAGUCAGAUGUGAAAUCCCCGGGCUCAACCUGGGAACUGCAUCUGAUACUGGCAAGCUUGAGUCUCGUAGAGGGGGGUAGAAUUCCAGGUGUAGCGGUGAAAUGCGUAGAGAUCUGGAGGAAUACCGGUGGCGAAGGCGGCCCCCUGGACGAAGACUGACGCUCAGGUGCGAAAGCGUGGGGAGCAAACAGGAUUAGAUACCCUGGUAGUCCACGCCGUAAACGAUGUCGACUUGGAGGUUGUGCCCUUGAGGCGUGGCUUCCGGAGCUAACGCGUUAAGUCGACCGCCUGGGGAGUACGGCCGCAAGGUUAAAACUCAAAUGAAUUGACGGGGGCCCGCACAAGCGGUGGAGCAUGUGGUUUAAUUCGAUGCAACGCGAAGAACCUUACCUGGUCUUGACAUCCACGGAAGUUUUCAGAGAUGAGAAUGUGCCUUCGGGAACCGUGAGACAGGUGCUGCAUGGCUGUCGUCAGCUCGUGUUGUGAAAUGUUGGGUUAAGUCCCGCAACGAGCGCAACCCUUAUCCUUUGUUGCCAGCGGUCCGGCCGGGAACUCAAAGGAGACUGCCAGUGAUAAACUGGAGGAAGGUGGGGAUGACGUCAAGUCAUCAUGGCCCUUACGACCAGGGCUACACACGUGCUACAAUGGCGCAUACAAAGAGAAGCGACCUCGCGAGAGCAAGCGGACCUCAUAAAGUGCGUCGUAGUCCGGAUUGGAGUCUGCAACUCGACUCCAUGAAGUCGGAAUCGCUAGUAAUCGUGGAUCAGAAUGCCACGGUGAAUACGUUCCCGGGCCUUGUACACACCGCCCGUCACACCAUGGGAGUGGGUUGCAAAAGAAGUAGGUAGCUUAACCUUCGGGAGGGCGCUUACCACUUUGUGAUUCAUGACUGGGGUGAAGUCGUAACAAGGUAACCGUAGGGGAACCUGCGGUUGGAUCACCUCCUUACCUUAAAGAAGC